rnacentral:misc_RNA from 1 species
AAGUCGUAACAAGGUUUCCGUAGGUGAACCUGCGGAAGGAUCAUUAACACGUAUCCACGUAUCCACCCACUGUGCACUUGUUUUCACCUCUCCCUGCCGACGACAUGAAUGGGUCUGUAUAGGGAAUGCGAGAGAAUGAAUGGGAGCCUCUCUUCGGAGAGACUCGAUCUCGCUUCCUGACGCGCUCUUCGGAGCGAACCAUUGUAGUCGCUUCGUGCAGGACCCAAUGUCUGCUCGGGCAGCACUCACCGUUCAUGAGUGCGCCGAGUGGGCGACCUAUCAUAAACACUCAUCACACCCUUUUUGCUAGUUGACUUUUUUUAUGUUGUCGUUCGCAUCUUUCUGAUGUGACUGCACACGUUUCUUAAUUGAACGAAAAUGUACAACUCUUAGCAAUGGAUCUCUUGGUUCUG